GCGAACAGCGGCGGCGGAGUCCACGGCGGACUCUUAAUCCGCGGGUUCAGGGUUCGAGUCCCUGGGGGCGUA
rnacentral:tRNA from 1 species